rnacentral:rRNA from 1 species
GAGUUUGAUCCUGGCUCAGGAUGAACGCUGGCGGUGUGCCUAACACAUGCAAGUCGAACGGACUUAACCUGAAACCUAGUGAAGGUUAAGUUAGUGGCGGACGGGUGAGUAACGCGUGGACAACCUGCCGCAUGCAGGGGGAUAACAGUUGGAAACAGCUGCUAAUACCGCAUAAGCGCACAGUGCCGCAUGGCACGGUGUGAAAAGAAAUUCGGCAUGCGAUGGAUCCGCGUCCGAUUAGCCAGUUGGCGGGGUAACGGCCCACCAAAGCGACGAUCGGUAGCCGGCCUGAGAGGGCGGACGGCCACAUUGGGACUGAGACACGGCCCAAACUCCUACGGGAGGCAGCAGUGGGGAAUAUUGCACAAUGGGGGGAACCCUGAUGCAGUGACGCCGCGUGGGUGAAGAAGUCAUUCGUGACGUANAGCCCUAUCAGCAGGGAAGAAAUGACGGUACCUGACUAAGAAGCCCCGGCUAACUACGUGCCAGCAGCCGCGGUAAUACGUAGGGGGCAAGCGUUAUCCGGAUUUACUUGGUGUAAAGGAACGU